GGGUAGGUGGCAGAGCGGCUAUGCACGGGACUGCAGAUCCCGACUAUUGGGGUUCGAAUCCCCACCUACCCU
rfam:Thermoplasmatales archaeon I-plasma AMDT3_IPLC00004, whole genome shotgun sequence.